AUACUGUACCUUUGUUCUUGUUCAUGAUUGUAGAAUGUCAGAAGAGGUUUGCCUAAAUUUGCCGCUGUACCUGUGCUGUCGUGGACCAACACCACCUUUUAUACACCGUCUUCUUGAUGAAUAAAUGUGACUUUCCACUGGAAGGACGACGACAGGGACGUGGAGGAGACUUAAGAGAUUAGGUUUCUCUGUCAGUCUGACCUUUGGGUAAUGUUUGUCUUCUGACGUGAUCGGAAGUUUCCGGUUCGACCUGACGAAAGACAGGAAGUUGCGUCGUCCACGUUUCCUGUUGCUCAUGAGAAGUUAUUUUCAUAACCCCUAUCUAAUGUGUCGCAAUGAAUCUUCGAACCUGUUCCAGUUCUGUGAAAGAGCUAACACAUAGAGAACAUCUAGAAAGACAUCCUGCACGCACCUGACGCGCUUUACGGCUAUUCGUCAAGUUAAUAGUCUGUGUUUGUGUGUGUGCACGGAAACGACAGCGAGUAACGCCACCGCAUCAUUAGCCGCCAUAAUAUUAGCCCACACGGUGUGUUAUUAAACCGUGCUACAUGACAUAAGAGCUGAAGUGCAGGAGUGCAGCAUUAUUCCUGAGUCUGGGGGAAAAAAACAACAACAUGGUAUCAAAGGACCGAUUCCAUUAUUGUGGUACAAUGAAGAACCCUGUUUAACUGAACCUCUAGGAAGUCGUUGAACUGUUCCUAAAACAUCUUCAACAGGAAGUUGCAUCGUCCAAAUGUUCUUCCUGAAGAAGAGAGCAGAAACAGACGCCCACAUCUCGAAGCUCUGUCCGAGCAAACUGAUCGUUCGUCCGGGUCACAGAGUUUGACAGAAGAUGCCGACUGUCUUAGGAAAGGGUCUACUGUUCUACCUUGUGUAAUGUGGUCUGGCUUGUCAGCUCUACCGAAUGUUGACACGUUGUACAAAACUGAGCUGCACUGUUUGGUAUAAAAAUAGAUCAGGUUACUUUCUUGGAGAAGUGGUGUCACCACUCGGUGCUUCACAACCUCAGAGUUAGUACAUCGGUUACACUAAAUCAUCCCUAGGUGUCAAUGUGUGUACUGUACGCUGACCUGCGACGGACCCGUGUCCCAGACGACGUGUGUCCUCGCCUCUUAUCUGUGGUUCCUCGGACCGGCUCUGGAUCCACCGAGGUGCUGACAAGGAUACCGCACUUACCAAAAAAAAAAAGAGAAAGGAUUGUGGAGAUGCUACGAAUAGAUGUGUAUGCCGUGCCAGCUGACCUGGAAAAAUCAAGCACUUGAUCUGGAUUCCAAAGGAUUCCUCGUCUCUCCAGGAUUCGAGUGAACGUCACCAGAAGUUCUUGGAUAUUAAUCAGCACCUUUUGAGCAAGACCGAAUGUCGCAUUAUGUAGAAUAACGUCUCUAACGGCGUUUUACAUCAGCCACAGACUCAUUCUCUAACCCUGUCCCCUUCAUAUAACCUUUCUUUUUUUUUUUUUUUUUUGCGAAGGCAGGACAUCAUUUUCCACAGUGUGCGGUAAUGAGACCGAGCCAGGAGCAACUGUGUUAGAUGGUAAUGGGCUCAGUAUUAAAGGCAAGAACAGGAACCGGACACUCGGCUGCUACGACUGGUGGAGAUGCCAUGUAGACGUGUUCUAUAAUUCAAGAACUCCGAAAGCACUACAGAGUAUCUCGUUUUUAUCAGUUUCCCGUGUGGGUCUUCAGCCUAUCAAACAUUCUCAAUACACACAUUCCAGCUUUGUCAGUCUAGACUUCGUCUGUCUUUAAAGGGCAAUUACAGUUAAAAGGCCGAGAGCAUGGCAGAUCGGUCGAGCAUGCCAUGCGACCUUGCACAACACUUGACGGGUAAUGGAACGGGACUCGCUGUUUGUAAUCGCAAAGCAGCAUAAAAGCAAAGUGCAGAGCAGCACAGCUGAACAUGUGGGGAGAGACCUAAUGCUGACAUUUUGUCUAUUUCUCAUUUACAUGUUAAUGCAAUGCAGCAGUACUGCUUUAAUCCACAAAACUGCUUGGCUUCGGUAAGAGCGUCGGGUUAAAAUGUUGGCUGCCGAGAGCUACUUUUUAUUCUGUCAGUAAGCUAAUGCAAAAUAAAAGGAAAAACACAACUGCGACCGAAGCCUCCUGGCAGAAGAGCGUGCAUGCUUUAAAGAUUUCCAGCGCUAUGUGAUCCUUGAAGUUAACAGGUCAACCACGACAACUCGAACGAACGCAAAUCACAAAGGUAAAGAAGAUAUAACCUCCACUUCGCUGAGAAAGCUCAACCUGACCUGGAACGUUGGCCAAGAAGUCCACAUAAUCAGAACAGGCUUCAAUUGGCCGAACCAAAGGGCUUUAGCUUUGCCCGUUCCCAAUUUGGUUAGGGAUGGAAUAAGCCUUAAAGUCAUGGAAAACUUGGUAAAGAAAACAUAACACAUAAGUUUAGCACCUCAGAUAAUGUGCAAGAGCUGGUGCAUGAGUUUGAGGGCCUUUUUACACCCGGUCACUUCGUGUGUGUUGUCUCUGAUCCGAUAGCUGUCUGAUUGGUUAAAACUGUACCAUUUACAUCAGGCCACAUAAACGCGUCUCGGCAAA